rnacentral:lncRNA from 1 species
AUAGGUUAUGUGGAUCAAGCUGUCCAAGACGAAAAAUUAGCCGCUGAUUUAUCUCGUUUGGAUUUACGGUAAAAAUGUUGUGGGUGUCUGAAAAUCUAAAACAAAUGUGAAAAAGGCUGCCACGACAACGUUUUCUGAAAACGCUAAAUAGAGGCGUUAGCGGCUAGAACGCGACUUGACCGACUGUGGUUCGCUGCUAGCGUUCGCUGCAGAGGUUAUGCAGCGGAUGGCCGGCAAAUAAAUAAAACAUCGGCGAUUAUACUAAACCAAAGGAAAUCGACGUUCUGUUUAAAUAAAACCGAACGGUUUAGAUAAAACCACACUAACCCGUACCGAUUCGUUCUAAAGAAAGAUCCUAUCUAAUCUAAUCUAACGAACGAAGCAGAGGGUGUGGUUGCUUAUAGCGAGACGACGCUGGCGUUUGGAGGCAGGGUCGUGGGCGAGCGGCGCGGACGGGGCGGCGGCUCCGACGGGAUGCGGCGCGGGUGAGGUAGGCGGGCGGGUGCGUCUCGUCGAGGGAUGCCGAACGACGGUGGUGUGUGGCAUCGAAGGCGUCGGGGUGGAGCAGGGCGAGUGGCGGAGCUUCGGUGCUCCGGUGAGCUCCGGCGGGCUCGGGUCGUCGGGGCUUCGUCUCCGGCGAAACCUAGGUGACAAAAAUAUGUCAGAGAGAUGCUCAAGUACGUGGGGAUGCGAUUCCUGAAGAAAAGAGAGGCACGGGAGGUUCACCGACGGCGUAGUACUCGGGCGAAGGAGCUCCGGCCGGCGAGAUGCGAACGGCGACGGCAUCAGCUAUGAGCGGCGAGAGGAGGGGCAGGAUGGCUGAAUGAGACGAGGGACUCGAGGGCCUUUUAUAGGUGCGGCUAUGGCGUUUGCAGGCUGCGGGAUAAGCUCUAUCCUGAGAGCAUCGCUCGGUAGGUGCGGG